ACUCAAAGGAAUUGACGGGGGCCCGCACAAGCGGUGGAGCAUGUUGUUUAAUACGUCACUAACCGUAGAACCUUACCAGGGCUUGACAUCCGUCGACAGUCCGUGAAAGCGGAUCUUCCCCGCAAGGGGACGGCGAGACAGGUGUUGCAUGGCUGUCGUCAGCUCGUGUCGUGAGAUGUUGGGUUAAGUCCCGCAACGAGCGCAACCCUCACCCCAUGUUGCCAGCGGGUCAUGCCGGGAACUCUUGGGGAACUGCCCGGGUAACCGGGAGGAAGGUGAGGACGACGUCAAGUCAGCAUGGCCCUUACGCCCUGGGCUACAAACAUGCUACAAUGGACGGCAGACAGAGGGAUCCGAGACCGCGAGGUGGAGGCAAUCUCAAAAAUCCGUUCCCAGUUCGGAUCGCAGGCUGCAACUCGCCUGCGUGAAGUCGGAAUCGCUAGUAACCGCAGAUCAGCGAAGCUGCGGUGAAUACGUUCCCGGGCCUUGUACACACCGCCCGU
rnacentral:rRNA from 1 species